UGGGGAAUAUUGGACAAUGGGCGCAAGCCUGAUCCAGCAAUGCCGCGUGGGUGAUGAAGGCCUUCGGGUUGUAAAGCCCUUUUGGCAGGGACGAUGAUGACGGUACCUGCAGAAUAAGCCCCGGCUAACUUCGUGCCAGCAGCCGCGGUAAUACGAAGGGGGCUAGCGUUGUUCGGAAUUACUGGGCGUAAAGGGCGCGUAGGCGGUUUCGCUAGUCAGGCGUGAAAUCCCCAGGCUUAACCUGGGAAUUGCGCUUGAUACUUCGAGACUUGAGUGAGGGAGAGGAUAGUGGAAUUCCCAGUGUAGAGGUGAAAUUCGUAGAUAUUGGGAAGAACACCAGUGGCGAAGGCGGCUAUCUGGACCUCAACUGACGCUGAGGCGCGAAAGCGUGGGGAGCAAA
rnacentral:rRNA from 1 species